rnacentral:tRNA from 4 species
GCGCCCGUAGCUCAAUGGAUAGAGUGAUCGUCUUCGGAACGAUUGAUGUGGGUUCGAUUCCUGCCGGGCGCACAA